UACGUAGGGUGCAAGCGUUGUCCGGAAUUAUUGGGCGUAAAGAGCUCGUAGGCGGUCUGUCGCGUCGGCUGUGAAAUCCCGAGGCUCAACCUCGGGUCUGCAGUCGAUACGGGCAAACUAGAGUAUUGCAGGGUAGACUGGAAUUCCUGGUGUAGCGGUGAAAUGCGCAGAUAUCAGGAGGAACACCGGUGGCGAAGGCGGGUCUCUGGGCAAUAACUGACGCUGAGGAGCGAAAGCGUGGGGAGCGAACAGG
rnacentral:rRNA from 1 species